GAUGAACGCUGGCGGCGUGCUUAACACAUGCAAGUCGAACGAUUAAGACGGCUUCGGCCGUGUAUAGAGUGGCGAACGGGUGAGUAACACGUGACCAACCUGCCCCGCGCUCCGGGACAACCGCUGGAAACGGCGGCUAAUACCGGAUGCUCCGGGGAGGCCCCAUGGCCUCCCCGGGAAAGCCCCGACGGCGCGGGAUGGGGUCGCGGCCCAUUAGGUAGACGGCGGGGUAACGGCCCACCGUGCCCGCGAUGGGUAGCCGGACUGAGAGGUCGACCGGCCACAUUGGGACUGAGAUACGGCCCAGACUCCUACGGGAGGCAGCAGUGGGGAAUUUUGCGCAAUGGGGGCAACCCUGACGCAGCAACGCCGCGUGCGGGACGAAGGCCUUCGGGUUGUAAACCGCUUUCAGCAGGGAAGACUUGACGGUAC
rnacentral:rRNA from 1 species